rnacentral:lncRNA from 1 species
UCGGUGCAGGGCGCGGAGCCGUUCUGCAGCGGGAACAGCACGAAGAGUGAGCUGUCGUUGGCGUCCAGCACCAGCACGCGCACCAGCGCCUCGCUGCUCAGCGCCGUGGAGCCGCGGUCUGAAGCGCCCACGCGGAACUCGAACUCCUGCAGGGCCUCGUAGUCCAGCGACCUGAGGGCGAACAGAAUCGCGGUCUUGAAUGCUGAAAAGAGCUGCAACGGUCUCAGGAGAAUUUUCGCGGAUGGGGCUUGUGAAUGAAGCCAUGGUCAGUUCCGGAGCGUUAUCGUUGAUAUCUACCACCUGUAUUAUGACAGUGCAUUUUCCAGAAAGACCUGCCCCAUCAGAGGCUUUAAUAUCC